UUAAUUGAAGCCAAAUUAGAGGCAUAUCACUGUUAAUGGUAGAAAUGAAUUUCCCAAUUCCAAUUAAG
rnacentral:tRNA from 1 species